UGGGGAAUAUUGGACAAUGGGCGAAAGCCUGAUCCAGCCAUGCCGCGUGUGUGAAGAAGGUCUUCGGAUUGUAAAGCACUUUAAGUUGGGAGGAAGGGCAGUAAGCGAAUACCUUGCUGUUUUGACGUUACCGACAGAAUAAGCACCGGCUAACUCUGUGCCAGCAGCCGCGGUAAUACAGAGGGUGCAAGCGUUAAUCGGAAUUACUGGGCGUAAAGCGCGCGUAGGUGGUUCGUUAAGUUGAAUGUGAAAGCCCCGGGCUCAACCUGGGAAUUGCAUCCAAAACUGGCGAGCUAGAGUAGGGCAGAGGGUGGUGGAAUUUCCUGUGUAGCGGUGAAAUGCGUAGAUAUAGGAAGGAACACCAGUGGCGAAGGCGACCACCUGGGCUCAUACUGACACUGAGGUGCGAAAGCGUGGGGAGCAAACAGG
rnacentral:rRNA from 1 species